rnacentral:rRNA from 1 species
ACGUAGGGGGCGAGCGUUGUCCGGAUUUAUUGGGCGUAAAGAGCGCGUAGGUGGCCUUUUAAGUUGGCUGUGAAAUCACCCGGCUCAACUGGGUGCGGUCGGCCAAGACUAGAAGGCUUGAGGGCGGUAGAGGAAGGUGGAAUUCCCGGUGUAGUGGUGAAAUGCGUAGAGAUCGGGAGGAACACCGUUGGCGAAGGCGGCCUUCUGGGCCGUUCCUGACACUGAGGCGCGAAAGCGUGGGUAGCGAACUGAAUUAGAUACUCAGGUAGUCCACGCCCUAAACGAUGGACGCUAGGUGCUGGGGGUAUCGACCCCCUCGGUGCCGAAGCUAACGCAUUAAGCGUCCCGCCUGGGGAGUACGGCCGCAAGGCUA